rnacentral:rRNA from 1 species
UACAGAGGUCUCAAGCGUUGUUCGGAUUCAUUUGGGCGUAAGGGUGCGUAGGUGGCGCCGUAAGUCGGGUGUGAAAUUCGGAGCUUAACUCCGAAACUGCAUUCGAUACUGCGGUGCUUGAGGACUGGAGAGGAGACUGGAAUUCGAUGGUGUAGCAGUGAAAUGCGUAGAGAUCAUGAGGAAGACCAGUGGUGAAGGCGGGUCGUCCUGGACAAGUUCCUGACGCUGAGG